AAGACCUUGCGCUUUUGGAGCGGCCGAUGCCUGAUUAGCUUGUUGGUAAGGUAAAAGCUUACCAAGGCUUCGAUCAGUAGCUGGUCUGAGAGGACGGCCAGCCACACUGGGACUGAGACACGGCCCAGACUCCUACGGGAGGCAGCAGUGGGGAAUUUUGGACAAUGGGGGCAACCCUGAUCCAGCCAUGCCGCGUGAGUGAAGAAGGCCUUCGGGUUGUAAAGCUCUUUCAGCCGGAACGAAACGGUUACGGUUAAUACCCGUGAUUACUGACGGUACCGGAAGAAGAAGCACCGGCUAACUACGUGCCGGCAGCCGCGGUAAUACGUAGGGUGCGAGCGUUAAUCGGAAUUACUGGGCGUAAAGCGUGCGCAGGUGGUUUUGUAAGUCAGAUGUGAAAGCCCCGGGCUCAACCUGGGAACU
rnacentral:rRNA from 1 species